rnacentral:rRNA from 1 species
CACGUAGGGCGCAAGCGUUGUCCGGAAUUAUUGGGCGUAAAGAGCUCGUAGGCGGUCUGUUACGUCUGCUGUGAAAACCCGGGGCUUAACCCUGGGCUUGCAGUGGAUACGGGCAGACUAGAGGCAGGUAGGGGAGAAUGGAAUUCCCGGUGUAGCGGUGAAAUGCGUAGAUAUCGUAAGGAAGACCAGUGGCGAAGGCGGGUCUCUGGACAGUUCCUGACGCUGAGGCACGAAGGCCAGGGGAGCAAACGGG